rnacentral:rRNA from 1 species
GUGGGGAAUAUUGGGCAAUGGGCGGAAGCCUGACCCAGCGACGCCGCGUGGGGGAAGAAGUCUUUCGGGAUGUAAACCCUUGUUGUACGGGACGAAGGAAGUGACGGUACCGUACGAGGAAGCCCCGGCAAACUACGUGCCAGCAGCCGCGGUAAUACGUAGGGGGCGAGCGUUGUCCGGAAUCACUGGGCGUAAAGCGCACGUAGGCGGGCUGUCAAGUCGGCCGUGAAAGGCACGGGCUCAACCUGUGCAUGUCGGUCGAUACUGGCGGUCUGGAGUAUGGGAGAGGGAACUGGAAUUCCCGGUGUAGCGGUGAAAUGCGUAGAUAUCAGGAAGAACACCGGAGGCGAAGGCGGCUUACUGGACAAUAACUGACGUUGAGGCUCGAAAGCGUGGGAAGCAAACAGGAUUAGAUACCCUGGUAGUCC